UACGGAGGGGGCUAGCGUUGUUCGGAAUUACUGGGCGUAAAGCGCACGUAGGCGGCUUUGUAAGUUAGAGGUGAAAGCCCGGGGCUCAACUCCGGAAUUGCCUUUAAGACUGCAUCGCUAGAAUUGUGGAGAGGUAAGUGGAAUUCCGAGUGUAGAGGUGAAAUUCGUAGAUAUUCGGAAGAACACCAGUGGCGAAGGCGGCGACCUGGGCCAAUACUGACGCUGAGGUGCGAAAGCGUGGGGAGCAAACAGG
rnacentral:rRNA from 1 species